rnacentral:miRNA from 1 species
GUUCCAGGCCGUACCCCGGCGGAGGCCGGGGUCAAGUUACCGGACGCGGGGAAAGAUCCGCCACUUUUCCCAACUGGACCCCGGCCUUCGCCGGGGUACGGCUCAGGGG